GACGAACGCUGGCGGCGUGCUUAACACAUGCAAGUCGAGCGGUAAGGCCCUUUCGGGGGUACGACGAGCGGCGAACGGGUAGAGUAACACGUGGGUGGACCUCGCCCUCCAGCUCUGGGAGUAAGCCUGGGAAACGUAGGGUCGUAAUACCGGAUAUGACUCCAUGACGCAUGUUGUGGGGUGGAAAGCCUUGUGCGGCUGAGGAUGGGCCCGCGGCCUAUCAGCUUGUUGGUGGGGUGAUGGCCUACCAAGGCGACGACGGGUAGCCGGCCUGAGAGGGCGACCGGCCACACUGGGACUGAGACACGGCCCAGACUCCUACGGGA
rnacentral:rRNA from 1 species